GACAGAGGAUGCAAGCGUUAUCCGGAAUGAUUGGGCGUAAAGCGUCCGCAGGUGGCAGUUCAAGUCUGCUGUCAAAGACCGGGGCUUAACUUCGGAAAGGCAGUGGAAACUGAACAGCUAGAGUAUGGUAGGGGCAGAGGGAAUUCCUGGUGUAGCGGUGAAAUGCGUAGAGAUCAGGAAGAACAUCGGUGGCGAAGGCGCUCUGCUGGACUA
rnacentral:rRNA from 1 species